AUACGGAGGAUCCGAGCGUUAUCCGGAUUUAUUGGGUUUAAAGGGUGCGCAGGCGGCCAUGUAAGUCAGCGGUUAAAUCGUGGGGCUCAACCCCAUUCUGCCGUUGAUACUGGGUGGCUUGAUUGCGGUCGAGGUUGGCGGAAUUCGUUGUGUAGCGGUGAAAUGCAUAGAUAUGACGAAGAACACCGAUUGCGGAGGCAGCUGACCAGGCCGCAAAUGACGCUCAUGCACGAAAGUGCGGGGAUCGAACAGGAUUAGAUACCCUGGUAGUCCGCACAGUAAACGAUGAAUACUUGUUUUCGGCGAUAUAAUGUCGGAGGCAAAGCGAAAGCGAUAAGUAUUCCACCUGGGGAGUACGCCGGCAACGGUGAAACUCAAAGGAAUUGACGGGG
rnacentral:rRNA from 1 species